rnacentral:rRNA from 1 species
AAUUGGAGGGCAAGUCUGGUGCCAGCAGCCGCGGUAAUUCCAGCUCCAAUAGCGUAUAUUAAAGUUGUUGCAGUUAAAAAGCUCGUAGUUGAAUUUCGGGAUUGACACAUCGGUCGUGCCUUAAGGGGUAUGAACUGGUGUAGUCAAUUUCUCACCUUCUGGAGAACCGCGAUGCCCUUAAUUGGGUGUCACGGGGAGCCAGGACCUUUACUUUGAAAAAAUUAGAGUGUUUAAAGCAGGCAUUUUGCUUGAAUACAUUAGCAUGGAAUAAUAAAAUAGGACGGCAUGAUUCUAUUUUGUUGGUUUCUAGGAUCACCGUAAUGAUUAAUAGGGAUAGUUGGGGGCAUUAGUAUUCAAUUGUCAGAGGUGAAAUUCUUGGAUUUAUUGAAGACUAACUACUGCGAAAGCAUUUGCCAAGGAUGUUUUCAUUAAUCAAGAACGAAAGUUAGGGGAUCGAAGACGAUCAGAUACCGUCGUAGUCUUAACCAUAAACUAUGCCGACUAGGAAUCAGACGAUGUUAAUUUUUUAAUGACUCGUUUGGCACCUUACGGGAAACCAAAGUGU